rnacentral:rRNA from 1 species
GAUGAACGCUGGCGGCGUGCCUAAUACAUGCAAGUCGAGCGAACAGACGAGGAGCUUGCUCCUCUGACGUUAGCGGCGGACGGGUGAGUAACACGUGGAUAACCUACCUAUAAGACUGGGAUAACUCCGGGAAACCGGAGCUAAUACCGGAUAAUAUAUUGAACCGCAUGGUUCAAUAGUGAAAGACGGUUUUGCUGUCACUUAUAGAUGGAUCCGCGCCGCAUUAGCUAGUUGGUAAGGUAACGGCUUACCAAGGCAACGAUGCGUAGCCGACCUGAGAGGGUGAUCGGCCACACUGGAACUGAGACACGGUCCAGACUCCUACGGGAGGCAGCAGUAGGGAAUCUUCCGCAAUGGGCGAAGGCUUGACGGAGCAACGCCGCGUGAGUGAUGAAGGUCUUCGGAUCGUAAAACUCUGUUAUUAGGGAAGAACAAAUGUGUAAGUAACUAUGCACGUCUUGACGGUACCUAAUCAGAAAGCCACGGCUAACUACGUG